rnacentral:rRNA from 1 species
UACGGAGGGGGCUAGCGUUGUUCGGAAUUACUGGGCGUAAAGCGCACGUAGGCGGCUUUGUAAGUUAGAGGUGAAAGCCCGGGGCUCAACCCCGGAAUUGCCUUUAAGACUGCAUCGCUUGAACACGGGAGAGGUGAGUGGAAUUCCGAGUGUAGAGGUGAAAUUCGUAGAUAUUCGGAAGAACACCAGUGGCGAAGGCGGCUCACUGGACCGUUGUUGACGCUGAGGUGCGAAAGCGUGGGGAGCAAACAGG